CCCAGCUUUGUCUCUCGCUUGUGCAGAGGUCAAGGCGGCCAACUGCAGAGCCGUGUGAGCACUCCAUGUGGGCGCGAACCUCAGCGCCCACCAGCUCUGACUCUGAGGAUCCCGGAACACCCUGGGCCCCAGGCAUGUGGCCGACUGCCUGCUGUUUUCUGGGUACAUUUUGUGAUUUCCCUGGGAGCAACUUGUGGAAAGAGCCAAGGCACAAGGCACGAAGUGCGUCACCGUCACCGUCACCGUAUUAGCUCAGAGCCACAGGAGGACGCCAAAGAUGCAGCGAGCUGGGUCCCCACCUACCCGAGGCCAGGCUUCGAGUGCCCGGAGGGAGGGGCUGCAGACCUCAAGAGAAAGCACACUGCGUAGUGCGGAGCCGCUGAGAAGUGGGACAGCUUUGGGCUACGUAAUCUGAUUACUCUGGUGCUCUGGGGGAGCUCCGGGU